UUUAGGCCUUCUCUUUUUUAUUUUUUUAGUUAUUUAUUAACUUGAAUAAUAUUCUCUUUCUAUUUAUUCCUCAAAUCCUUCUCCUCUUUUUCUGCUUGGAGCGCCUAUUCCCGAGCGUCUGUUCUAAUUUUUUCUUUUCCAAUUUGUCUUUUUCGUUCGGACGUGCCUUAGUAAGGAGUGAGGGGCGAGCCGGGUGGGACGCAAAUGAUAAUGCUUCCUAUUUUCUUAGGUGUGGAGAUAAUAUAAAUUGGAUUGAUUUCAUUAUGGUAAUUUGAAUACUGGAUAUUAUUACUAGACCUCACAACCUCCGUUUAAUAAUCUAACAAGUAAGAGGUUUUUGUUUAAUUUGUUUGAUGAGUAAUUCUCCAUGUUGUAAAAUAUACAGUCUCUAGCUAGGUCUCUAAUUCUAAAAGGAAAAGAGGUGAAAUCUUAAUCAUAAUUUGCUCUCUACGUAGGUUCUUGUCAAACUCUUAGACCUAUAUAUAUGGGGGUCUACAUUGUAGUCAUCAAUAUUCAAUCAAUAAAAAUAAUAGUCCCCUAUGUUGUGUCUUUAUAUUGUUCUAGCGAUAUAUUUCACAACAUGACAAGCUCUACAUCCACCAUUAGAGCCACCGCCGAUCUCAAUAUUGACACUUAUACCAAUACCAAUGUCUCUGCCGAUAACUACCUUUAAGCACUAGUACAGACGCAUACUGUACAGGUGGCUGAAAAUCUAUUUCUACUGGCGUUUU
rnacentral:lncRNA from 1 species